CAGCCGCCGCGGUAAUACGUAGGGUGCAAGCGUUGUCCGGAAUUAUUGGGCGUAAAGAGCUCGUAGGCGGCUUGUCGCGUCGGCUGUGAAAACCUGGGGCUCAACUCCGGGCUUGCAGCCGAUACGGGCAAGCUAGAAUUCGGUAGGGGAGACUGGAAUUCCUGGUGUAGCGGUGAAAUGCGCAGAUAUCAGGAGGAACACCGGUGGCGAAGGCGAGUCUCUGGGCCGAUAUUGACGCUGAGGAGCGAAAGCGUGGGGAGCGAACAGGAUUAGAUACCCCAGUAGUCCCUGUCUCUUAUAC
rnacentral:rRNA from 1 species